rnacentral:rRNA from 1 species
UACGUAGGGGGCAAGCGUUGUCCGGAUUUAUUGGGCGUAAAGAGCGUGUAGGCGGCCAGGUAGGUCCGUUGUGAAAACUAGAGGCUCAACCUCUAGACGUCGAUGGAAACCAUCUGGCUAGAGUCCGGAAGAGGAGAGUGGAAUUCCUGGUGUAGCGGUGAAAUGCGCAGAUAUCAGGAAGAACACCCGUGGCGAAGGCGGUUCUCUGGGCAUUACCUGACGCUGAGGAGCGAAAGUGUGGGGAGCGAACAGG